rnacentral:sRNA from 2 species
UGAAUAGUCCGGUAGAUAAGGUUACCACAGGGAUAAGGAUUGCUGCCGCGAAAUAGUGGAGACACUAUUAGUUGGUUAGCAGGCUAUGUCGAAUCCAAGGCAUAAUCUAAUGCAAUUUCAAGAUGACUCCAGUCAUUGCGCCCUGUGAAGCUAAAGUUUGAACGGUAGUAUAGUAGA